UGCUUUAUACAUGCAAGUCGAACGGAGGCCCUAGCUUGCUAGGUGUCCUUAGUGGCGCACGGGUGAGUAACACGUGGGAACAUACCUUAUAGUACGGAAUAACUGCGGGAAACUGUAGCUAAUACCGUAUACUCCAGUAAUGGGAAAGAUUUAUCGCUAUAAGAUUGGCCCGCGCAAGAUUAGCUUGUUGGUGAGGUAAAAGCUCACCAAGGCUUCGAUCUUUAGCUGGUUUGAGAGGACGAUCAGCCACACUGGGACUGAGACACGGCCCAGACUCCUACGGGAGGCAGCAGUAGGGAAUAUUGGACAAUGGGGGCAACCCUGAUCCAGCAAUGCAGCGUGAGUGACGAAGGCCUUAGGGUUGUAAAACUCUUUCAUCGGUGAGGAUAAUGACAGUAGCCGAAGAAGAAGGACCGGCUAAUUCCGUGCCAGCAGCCGCGGUAAUACGGAAGGUCCUAGCGUUGUUCGGAAUUACUGGGCGUAAAGCGCAUGUAGGCGGAACAGAAAGUUAGAAGUGAAAUCCCUGGGCUCAACCUAGGAAUUGCUUUUAAAACUUCUGUUCUGGAAUUCAGGAGAGGAAAAUGGAAUUUCCAGUGUAGAGGUGAAAUUCGUAGAUAUUGGAAGGAACACCAGUGGCGAAGGCGAUUUUCUGGACUGAUAUUGACGCUGAGAUGCGAAGGCAUGGGUAGCAAACGGGAUUAGAUACCCCGGUAGUCCAUGCAGUAAACGAUGGGUGCUAGUCGUCGGACUUUUGUUCGGUGUCGUAGCUAACGCGUUAAGCACCCCGCCUGGGGAGUACGGUCGCAA
rnacentral:rRNA from 1 species